AAAUGCGUGGAUUAUGCUACAAUCAAGCCUAGUUGUGACGCCGCAACAAAAUGUAACAAGAAUGGCGUAUGCAACAACAAAGGGAACUGUCAUUGCCAUAGGGGCUGGGCCCCACCUAACUGCAAGACCAGAGAAACGGGAGGCUUGGGAGGAAGCAUCGACAGCACGUUCCGAGGUGCCUCACCGUCCAUCAAGCCCCGC